GGCAAUAUGGCCGAGCGGUCUAAGGCGCCAGAAUCAGGAGCACUUCCCAUCUGGUCCUCCGGGGCGAGGGUUCGAAUCCCUCUGUUGUCA
rnacentral:tRNA from 1 species